rnacentral:rRNA from 1 species
GAUGAACGCUGGCGGCGUGCCUAAUACAUGCAAGUCGAGCGAAGCGGGGACGGGGGAGUAACACGUGGAUAACCUCCUAUAAGACUGGGAUAACUUCGGGAAACCGGAGCUAAACCGGAAACUUAUAGAUGGAUCCGCGUUGCAUUAGGUAGUUGGUAAGGUAACGGCUUACCAAGGCAACGGUGGAUAGCCGACCUGAGAGGUUGAUCGGCCACACUGGAACUGAGACACGGUCCAGACUCCUACGGGAGGCAGCAGUAGGGAAUCUUCCGCAAUGGGCGCAAGCCUGACGGAGCAACGCCGCGUGGAGGAUGAAGGUCUUCGGGUUGUAAAACUCUGUUAGUAGGGAAGCGUUACCUAAUCAGAAAGCCACGGCUAACUACGUGCCAGCAGCCGCGGUAAUAC